GAUGAACGCUAGCGGCAGGCUUAAUACAUGCAAGUCGAGGGACAGCACAGGUAGCAAUACUGGGUGGUAACCGGCAAACGGGUGCGGAACACGUACACAACCUUCCUUUAAGUGGGGGAUAGCCCAGAGAAAUUUGGAUUAAUACCCCGUAAUAUAGUUGAAUGGCAUCAUUUGAUUAUUAUAGCUACGGCGCUUAAUGAUGGGUGUGCGGCUGAUUAGAUAGUUGGCGGGAUAACGGCCCACCAAGUCUACGAUCAGUAGCUGAUGUGAGAGCAUGAUCAGCCACACGGGCACUGAGACACGGGCCCGACUCCUACGGGAGGCAGCAGUAAGGAAUAUUGGUCAAUGGACGCAAGUCUGAACCAGCCAUGCCGCGUGAAGGAUUAAGGUCCUCUGGAUUGUAAACUUCUUUUAUUUGGGACGAAAAAGGGCCUUUCUAGGUCAACUGACGGUACCAGAUGAAUAAGCACCGGCUAACUCCGUGCCAGCAGCCGCAGUAAAAC
rnacentral:rRNA from 1 species